CUUUCAUUAUAGGGGAAAAUACAGAAAUUGGAGGAGCAGAAUACAACAUGAAAAGCUAUAGCGCUGGAAAAAGGCCAGCUGGUUCAACAUGCCAGUCCUUUUAAAGCAGCACAGUUCUGCGUUUGUAUUUGUUAAUUAAAUACUGACAAGGGAAAAACAGCAAGUGCAGCAAUAUUGUGUGUUUGUGGGCUUUCAGAACAGCCCCUCUGGG